rnacentral:rRNA from 1 species
UACAGAGGGGGCCAGCGUUAUUCGGAAUUAUUGGGCGUAAAGGGCGCGUAGGCGGCCAUGCGUGUCUUCCGUGAAAUCCCUCGGCUUAACCGAGGACGUGCGGAAGAAACUGCAAGGCUCGAGUCCGGAAGAGGGGGGCGGAAUUCCCAGUGUAGCGGUGAAAUGCGUAGAUAUUGGGAGGAACACCAGUGGCGAAGGCGGUCCCCUGGGCCGGAACUGACGCUGAGGCGCGAAAGCCAGGGGAGCGAACGGG